rnacentral:rRNA from 1 species
UACGGGGGGAGCAAGCGUUGUUCGGAUUUACUGGGCGUAAAGGGCGCGUAGGCGGCGCAACAAGUCACUUGUGAAAUCUCCGGGCUUAACCCGGAGCGGCCAAGUGAUACUGUCGUGCUAGAGUGCGGAAGGGGCUACUGGAAUUCUCGGUGUAGCGGUGAAAUGCGUAGAUAUCGAGAGGAACACCGGUGGCGAAGGCGGUUCUCUGGGCCUUACCUGACGCUGAGGAGCGAAAGCGUGGGGAGCGAACAGG